rnacentral:rRNA from 1 species
CGUCUGAUUUAGCUAGUUGGUAGGGUAAAGGCCUACCAAGGCAUCGAUCAGUAGCUGGUCUUGAGAGGCACGAUCAGCCACACUGGGACUGAGACACGGCCCAGACUCCUACGGUGAGGCCGAGCAGUGGGGAAUUUUCCGCAAUGGGCGAAAGCCUGACGGAGCAAGUACCCGGCGUGAGGGAGGAAGGCUCUUGGGUUGUAAACCUCUUUUGUCAGGGAAGUACAGGAAAGUGACGGUACCUGAAGAAUCAGCAUCGGCUAACUCCGUGCCAGCAGUCGCGCGGUAAUACGGAGGAUGCAAGCGUUAUCCGGAAUUAUUGGGCGUAAAGCGGUCCGCAGGUGGUCAAUCAAGUCUGCUGUCAAAGAGUG